GACGAAGGGGGCUAGCGUUGUUCGGAAUUACUGGGCGUAAAGCGCGUGUAGGCGGUUGUCCAAGUUGGAUGUGAAAUCUCCAGGCUCAACUUGGAGGGGUCAUUCGAUACUGCCAUGACUAGAGUUCGGUAGGGGAGUGUGGAAUUCCUGGUGGAGCGGUGAAAUGCGCAGAUAUCAGGAAGAACACCCGUGGCUAAGGCGGCAUCCUGGACCGACACUGACACUGAGGAGCGAAAGCCAGGGGAGCAAACGGG
rnacentral:rRNA from 1 species